UGUAAUGAUUGAAUUGCAAAAGGCUUGAUAAGUAUUAUGUUAUACAGUUCAUAUGAUUUCAUGAUGAUGAUAAUGUUAUUGUUUUCGUAUAUUGUUUUAUGAAUUUCACCGAGGUAAGUGGAUAGUAAAGGAUUUUAUUAUUGAUAAAAGAAUUUGUUGUAAACUAUGCUCCAUUGGUCUUUUUAUGUUUUCUACCCACCUUUACCUCCGUGACGGUGAGAUAGUGUGAUUUCUUUACUGGGCUGGUGUAGCUCAUUCCUUAUUUAAUCAUUUCAGAUCAGGAAGACAUUGUUCCCGAGCCCGUUCCGCAGGAAGACGGCGAAGGGGACGUCUGAAGACUCCGUAGUUAUAUUUAUAGCUUUUAUUUUCGAGUUUCUCUUUUAGUUAGUUUGUUCUUUUAUACUUUGAGCACGUUUUUGAUUUUGGUGUAAGGGAUGUUAAUCAAAAUUUUUAUUACGCUUCCGCAUUUGAUCUUUUUAAUACACAUAUUUCAUUUUAAAAUUUCGGGGCCGUUACAGUUGGUAUCAGAGCCGCGUUUCCUCGGACCCAUCCCUUACACAAUAGUGCCUUAGAGAAAUACUCACCGAUAGAUCGUUACUCAACCAUUCCUUGUGAAUGCAGGUACACGGAAAUGAGGAGAGGAAGGCCCCCACUAAACCGAGUGGCCCAAGAUAAUUCGCUUCGGGAGGAUUUGGAUAGACUAUUUGAGAUGGUGGAAGCUCUCGUAGCUGCCCAGCAAAGGCGAGAGGAGAGAAGGGAGUUACCCCGACCUCCUCCGCUAACGCAGGUUGAGCCCCCGCUACAGCAGGCUGAUCCCGAGCCACCCCGGCAGGAGCCUGCUCCUCCACAGUACCACCCGGCACCACAGCCGCGGUACGACCCGGUACCAUAGCCACGGUACCACCAGGCACCGCCACAACACAUUUCAGUACCCCCACCACAUCAGCAGGUGCCACCACAGGGCCCCCUAGUUCACCCUCAGCCGGCCCCAGUCCCUCUACCUCGGGACCCCGCUCCUUCCUUGAUCGACCCCAACUUCAUAGAGAGGUACAGAAGACUGAACCCUUCUACUUUUGCAGGGGGAUCCUCUUUUGAAGAGGCCCAAUACUGGCUGGCAGAGACUGAGAGAGCUUUCAAGACCUUGGGAGUAGUUCCUGAGUAGAGGGCUGCCAUUGCCUCCUACAUGCUGGUAGGGGAAGUAGUACGUUAGUGGGAGCUCAAGCGGACCACCCUGCCUACACCAGCUACUUGGGAGCAGUUCUUAGCGGCCUUCCACGCGGAGUAUCUCCCUAAACACAUCCGACACCUAAAGGAAAUGGAGUUUGCUCAAUUGGUCCAGGGAAACAUGACAGUGUCGGAGUAUGCCCGUAAGUUCCUGGAGCUGGGCCGAUAUGUCCUGGAGACAUUAAUGGAUGAGGGCCGAAAGGCCAGGAAAUUCCAGUGGGGUCUCCGCCUGGAGAUCAAACAACACUUACUGGUAAUGGAGCUCGAGACAUAUUCAGGAAUCCUAGCAAAGGCGCAGAUCAUAGAAAGGAGUUUCGACACCCACCCUCAGCUAGCGGGGAGUUCCCGAACCUCAGCCCCGCUCCGCAGGCCAGCACCUACCGCGCCUGUCCAACCCAGUAAGAGGCCCAGACCCGCCAUCCAGGCCCCUCCUCAGGCUACGGGGGCAGCACGUGGGAAGAUCUGCUAGCACUGCGGUAGGGAUCACGGGGACCGACCCUGCUACCGCCUCAGCAACACCUGUCGCAUAUGCGGCAGUGCCCAGCACUAUGCAAGGGAAUGUCCGAGGAACCAGAAUCAAAGAAGGCCUCCAAUCCAGGGCAGAGUUUACAACCUUACCCAGAAGGAUGCCAACGCAGACCCGGACGUGGUACAUGGUAUGUAUACUAUAUCUGGCUACAUUGCUCAUGUUUUGUUUGACACUGGUGCAUCACAUUCUUUUGUUUCACAUGUUCUUACUUCCAAAAUUUGUGUAUCACCUGAUAGACUUGAUUCAUUGUUGCUUGUAUCUACUGCUGGGGGGGAGACAUUGCUAGGAGAGGUUAUCUACAGGGCAUGUGCCGUGGAGAUAGCAGAUAGAAAACUGAGGGUAGACCUGAUAGGGUUAGACACGGGGGAUUUUGAUGUAAUCCUAGGAAUGGAUUGGCUAGCGGCGUAUCACGCCACCAUAGACUGCUUUAACAAAAGGGUUGUAUUUAAUCCUCCCAACGAGGAGCCAUUUACAAGUUAAUAAAAUCAUUCAGUACUGAUUUUCCCUGAUGGCAAGUUUUCUUAAUUCCUAGUGCCUUAAUCUUGUAUUUCCUCUAACUAGGUAAGCCCAAGAAGGAAGUUUGUAUCCAAGAGAUUCCAGUAGUCCGAGACUUUCCAGACGUAUUUUCGGAUGAACUGCCCGGUCUACCAGUGGACAGAGAGGUCGAGUUCACCAUAGACUUACAGCCAGGUACCCAGCCCAUCUCGGUUGCUCCUUACCGAAUGAGCCGCAUUGAGAUGGAAGAACUAAGGAAACAGAUCACUGAGUUACAAGACAGUGGUUUCAUUAGACACAACGUUUCCCCUUGGGGUGCCGGAGUUACUUUUGCAAGGAAGGGAGAUGGAACGUUGAGACUGUGCAUUGAUUACAGAGGGAUAAACAAGGUAACAAUUAAGAACAAAUAUCCUCUUCCCCGGAUUGAUGACCUUUUCGAUCAGUUGCAGGGUGCACAGGUCUUUUCUAAAAUAGAUCUACGAUCAGGUUACCAUCAGGUAAAGAUAAGAACAGAAGACAUCCCCAAGACGGCCUUCCGAACUAGGUACGGACACUAUGAGUUCCUGGUCAUGCCAUUCGGGCUAACCAAUGCCUCGACAAUCUUUAUGCAUCUGAUGAACAGAGUUUUCAGAGAGUUCUUGGAUCAGUUUGUCAUCAUGUUCAUCGAUGAUAUCUUAGUCUACUCAAAAAGCAGAGAAUAGCAUGCUCACCAUCUGGCCCAAGUUUUGCAGGUCCUUAGAAACAAGAGGCUAUAUGCGAAGUUGAGUAAGUGUGGAUUCUGGCUUGAGCAGACUACCUUCCUAGGACACAUCAUAUCGAAGGAAGGGGUAUCAGUGAAUCCUGAAAAGGUUGAAGCGGUACUUGGUUGGGAGAAACUGACAUCAGUUAAGGAAAUCCGUAGCUUCCUGGGAAUGGCAGGUUAUUACCGCAGGUUCGUUGAAGGAUUCUCCAGUCUAGCAGCUCCUCUAACCCGACUCACAAAGAAGAAUGCCAAGUUCGAGUGGAAUGAAGACUGCGAAAGAAGUUUUUCAGAAUUAAAGAAGCGGCUAACCACUGCACCCGUGCUAGCCUUACCGAGUAGAUCGGGAGGAUAUACAGUUUAUAGCGAUGCCUCCUAUCUGGGCCUGGGUUGUGUCCUGAUGCAGCAUGGAAAGGUUAUAGCAUAUGGGUCCAGACAGCUAAAGAAUCAUGAGAAUAACUAUCCUAUCCAUGACUUGGAGCUUGCCGCAAUCAUACACGCCUUGAAAACUUGGCGCCAUUAUUUGUACGGGGAGACUUUUCAGAUCUAUAUCGAUCACAAGUGUUUGAAACACAUAUUCAGUUAGAAGGAUCUCAACAUGCAUCAGAGAAGGUGGAUGGAACUCCUUAAGGACUAUGAUUGUGACAUCUUAUACCAUCCGGGUAAGGGCAAUGUGGUAGCAGAUACCCUUAGCAGGAAAAGUGCAGGUAUCUUAGCCUAUUUGAUGGUUUCAGAAUGCAGACCAAUUGGGGCCACACAACAGGUUCGACUUCAUGAUCUAAAGAGAGUCACAUGUUUGGGCCGCCUGGCAGUCCAGCCCGAGUUAAUUCAGAGGAUAAGGGAAGCCCAAACAGUUGACCCCGCCCUGGUAGCCCGCAAGAACGAUGCAGAACAGGGAGGGAGCUCAGAAUUCUGAAUAUCUGCCGAUGGACUACUUUGUUUCCAAAACAGGAUGUGUGUCCCAGAUGACAGUGAGUUAAAAAGGUACAUCAUGACAGAGUCCCAUGGCUCGAAGUUUGCAAUGCAUCCAGGAAGCACCAAAAUGUACCAAAGCAUGCGACCCCAGUUUUGGUGGCAUGGGAUGAAGAAAGACAUAACCGACUUUGUAUCUAAAUGUUUGGUAUGUCAGCAGGUCAAGGCAGAGCAUCAGCGCCCAGGUGGGUUACUUCAGCCUUUACCGAUCCCGGAAUAGAAGUGGGAACAUAUCACCAUGGACUUCGUAUCGGGGCUACCCAAGGCGCGUUCAGGACAUGAUGCCAUAUGGGUAAUCGUUGACCGACUUACCAAGUCUUCCCACUUCCUAGCCAUCAGGAUGACCAAUUCAUUGGACAAGUUGGCAAGGAUGUAUAUCCGGGAGAUAGUCAGAUUGCAUGGGGUUCUAGUAACAAUAGUGUCCGACAGGGAUCCCAAGUUCACCUCUCGGUUUUGGAGUAGCUUCCAGCAAGCUUUGGGAACAAAGCUGUCUCUUAGUACUGCCUUCCACCCCCAGACUGAUGGACAAUCAGAGAGGACAAUUCGUACGCUUGAGGAUAUGCUCCGAGCUUGUGUCCUUGACUCCGGGGGCCAUUGGGACGACCAUCUACCCCUGAUAGAGUUUGCCUAUAACAACAGCUAUCAAGCAAGUAUCGGCAUGGCUCCAUAUGAGGCGCUAUAUAGGCGCCCGUGCAGGUCACCAAUUUGUUGGAAGAAAGUGGGCGAUAGAAGAUUGUUCGGCCCGGAGUUGGUAGAGGAGACCACGUCCAAGAUAGUUAAAAUCAAGAAGAACAUUCAGACAGCUCAGAGCAGGCAGAAGAGUUAUGCAGAUAUCCGAAGGAGAGACCUUAGCGUUUGAGAAAGGCGACCGUGUGUUUCUUAAGGUCACUCCUUUCAAGGGAAUUAGUAGGUUCGGCAGGAGGAGAAAAUUAAACCCCCGAUAUAUUGGACCCUUUGAAAUCUUAGACAAGAUUGGUGCCGCUGCCUACAAACUAGCACUGCCUCCCGAGCUCUCCCGAGUUCACAAUGUGUUUCACGUAUCUAUGCUACGUAAGUACAACCCGGACCCUUCUCAUGUCUUGUCUCAUGAACCGCUUCCACUCCAAGAGAACUUGUCUUAUGAAGAAGUACCGGUCGGUAUCACGGACCGAGAGAGCAGAAUACUCCGCAACUGGGAAAUAUCAUUUAUAAAGGUCGUGUGGCAGAACCACAUGCCCAGGGAGGCUACUUGGGAACUGGAAUCAGAAUUUAGAGCCCAGUAUCCCCAUUUGUUUGACCAAGAGUAAGAGGCAAAUUUGGGGGACCAAAUUUCUUUCAGGGAGGAGAGUUGUAACGCCCGCUAAUUUUAUAAUUUUUGAAUUUUAAUUGAUUUAUUUAAUUUAGUUUAAUUUAAUAAAAAAUAAUAAUAAUAAUGAUAAAAUUGGGUAAAAAUAUUAUUUGGAUUUAAUUGAAAUUGAUUUUGGAAAAAAAGGGUGAAAAUUAGGAUUCUGGGGGUAUUUUUGAAAAGAAAAUCGGAAACCGGGGGUCAAAACGCAAUUUAGAAAAAUUGUGCCCCGUCAGGCCACGUCAACAGCCACGUCAGCGGCCCAGUCAGUAGCCCUGGCCAACCAGGACCUGUCGCGUGGCAAGACCAUGUCGACCCGGGAACGGACCAUGUGGGCGAUCCGCGUGCGAGCGAUCGGACGGCCCAGUUGCGUCCCCACGCGCCCGGACGGCCCUGAUCAAGCGUGCGCACAGACAGCCCAGAUGCACGCGCACGGAUGGCCCAGAUGCACGCGCACGGACGGCCCAGAUUCAAUCAAGUACGAAUGGCCCAGAUUUAAUCAAAAUAGACGGCUGUGAUUAAAAGGGAAAAAGGUAUAAAUAAAACCCCCACACCUGACAACAAAAACCCUAGCCGUCUGCCCUCGCCGAAGAAGACGAACUAGACGCCGGAGGAGCCGGCCACCACCACCCGCCGCCGCACCGGGGAGUUUUUCGACCGCCGAUCAAGGUAAAUUUCAUACCCCCAGCUCGUUUUUCAAUGCUGAGUUCCCCUGUGGCCAAAUCGGAGCUAAAAUCCCGGCCAAACGGCCGAAAAAUACGGUUGAAACCCAACGGCGCUGUCGCACCCCUCCUCGAUUUUUGCCUCCGAUGAGGCCCUUUCCGGCCUCUGUUUGAUAUAAUUUUUAUAUCACCGUGAUCACCAUUCUUUUCUCUAUAGGUUGAUUGGAGCCAAAUCACCAAAACACGAACCUCGCGGAGCCGCCGUGCCAGAAUUGCGAUAUUGGCCGAAAGGGGCCCUGGGUCUAAUUUUGGAUUUUUUUGGGACACGUGCAGGUACCAGUAGUGCGUUUCAGUUUCUCGGGAAAAAUUCAGGAAAAAUUAGAGACAGCCUGUAGGCGCACUGUAGAGCCGUAUUCGGACCCCGAAACAAGUAAGGAUCCCUCACCCUAUUUCCUAUCGUGGUAUUAAAGUUCAAUAAAUGAUAAAACGGUAUUUCAUGAAUCAAUAGAUGUGAGAAAUUGUUUAAGGUCGCUAAUGGUGCCCGAGUCUGGUGUGUUUGUCGGUCAGCUAUUGUUUGGCCUAUUUUACAGUUUUUAAAUGCAGUAUAAGGUCUGAUGUUUUCAUUUCAUAGUUUCGUGUGCAUAUAUCACUGUUUUAUUGAUUAUGGGUUGAAUGACUGAGAACCCGAUGUUGUAUGUUCUCUUGUUUGGCAUAAAUUACUAGUUUUCUUGUUUGUGUGUGAUUUGAUGAUGCUGACUGAGGAAAAAGGGGAAUGAAAUGUUAUGUAAAUUAAUAAUUGUAUAAUGUGGUCAGCCUGACUAGAUAUCCUGGGAGAUGGUGGACGGACUGGGUCCGUAGGGAACCCUACCGGGAUUGUGGUCUCUCAUACCGGACGGGGUAUGGAGACCUUAUGCGUCUUGGCGCCCAUAUCGGACGGGGUAUGGGGACGGCCCGUUUCACCCUCAUACCGGACGAGUUAUUGAGGUUUAUAGUUUUGGCGCCCAUACCAGACGGGGUAUGGGGACGGCCCUGGAAUCUGAUUGCAAGUGUUAAGGGUUCACGGGUAGCGGACCCCUAUGGAUCCCCAUGGAUACUAGUAGGCUGGUAAAUGAGGAAAAAAAAUAUGUUGUGUAAUGACUGAAUUGCAAAAAGCGUGAUAAGUAUUAUGUUAUAAAACUCAUAUUAUUUCAUGAUGAUGAUAAUGUUAUUGCUUUCAUGUAUUAUUUUAUGAAUUUCACCUAGGUAAGUGAAUAGUAAAGGAUUUUAUUAUUGAUAAAAGAAUUUGUUGUAAAUUAUGCUCCAUUGGUCUUCUUGUGUUUUCUACCCACCUUUACCUCCGUGACGGUGAGAUAGUGUGAUGUCUUUACUGGAUUGGUGUAGCUCAUUCUUUAUUUAAUCAUUUCAGAUCAGGAAGACAUUGUUCCCGAGCCCGUUCCGCAGGAAGACGGCGAAGGGGACGCCUGAAGACUCCGUAGUUAUAUUUAUAGCUUUUAUUUUCGAGUUUCUCUUUUAGUUAGUUUGUUCUUUUAUACUUUGAGCACGUUUUUGGUUUUGGUGUAAGGGAUGUUAAUCAAA
rnacentral:lncRNA from 1 species